UUGAUUAUGGCUCAGAUUUAAGACGCCAUGAGAUGUUUUACAUGCAAGUCGAACGGCGGCACGGACUUCGGUCACGAGGUGGCGAGUGGCGAACGGGUGGUGUGUAUCGGAACGUGCCUAGUAGCGGGGAUAACUACGCGAAAGCGUAGCUAAUGCCGCAUACGCCCUUCGAGAAAAACAGGGGGAUACUCGGGCCCUCGCACUAUUAGAGCGUGAUAUCGGAUUAGCUAGUUGGUGGGGUAACGGCUCACCAGGCGACGAUCCGUAGCUGGUUUGAGGACGACCAGCCACACUGGGACUGAGACACGGCCCAGACUCCUACACGGAGGCAGCAGUGGGGGUACACGGACAAUGGGGAAACCCUGAUCAACCAUCCCGCGAUGUGCGAUGAAGGCCUUCGGGUUACAGCUUACUUUGGCAGGAAAGAAACGGCACGGGAUAAUACCGUGCAGCUGACGGUACCUGCAGAAUAAGCACCGGCUAACUACGUGCGGCAGCCGCGGUAAUACGUAGGGGUGCAAGCGUUAAUCGGAAUUACUGGGCGUAAGGCGUGCGCGGGCGGUUCAGGAAGAAAGAUGUGAAAUCCCCCAGAGCUUAACCUGGAACUGCAUUUUUAACUACCGAGCUAGAGUGUCAGAGGGAGGAGUGGAAUUCCGCGUGCUUGGUGAAAUGCGUAGAUGCGGAGGAACACCGAUGGCGAAGGCAGCCUCCUGGGGAUAACACUGACGCUCGUAAUGCACAAAGAAAAGCGUGGGAGCAAACAGGAUUAGAUACCCUGGUAGUCACGCCUAAACGAUGUCCAACUGGCUGUUGGGGCCUUCGGAGCGCUUGGUAGCGCAGCUAACGCGUGAAGUUGACCGCCUGGGAGUACGAUCGCAAGAUUAAAACUCAAAGGAAUUGACGGGGACCGCACGAAAGCAGUGGAUGAUGUGGAUUAAUUCGAUGCAACGCGAAAGAACCUUACCUACCACUUGACAUGUCUGGAAGUCGAAGAGAUUUGGGGAGUGCUCGCAAGAGAACCGGAACACAGGUGCUGCAUGGCUGUCGUCAGCUCAUUGUCGUGAGAUGUUGGGUUAAGUCCCGCAACAAGCGCAACCCUUGUCAUUUAGAUUGCUACGAAAGGGCACUCUCUAAUCAAGACUGCCGGUGACAAACAGGAGGAAGGUGGGGAUGACGUCAAAGUCCUCAUAGCGCCCCUUAGGUGAGGCUUUACCCAUCCUUUAAUGGUCGGGACGGUCCGCCAACCCCGCCGAGAGGCCAAUCCAGAAACCCGAUCGUAGUCCGGAUCUACGCAGUCUGCAGCUCGACUGCGUGAAGUCGGAAUCGCUAGUAAUCGCGGAUCAGCAUGUCGCGGUGAAUACGUUCCACGUUGCACACCGCCGUCACCCUGCAUGGGAGUGGGUUUACCGGAAAGUAGUUAGCUAACCGUAAGGGAGGGAGGGCGAUUGCAGUAAGUUCGCGGCUGAAGGUGAAGUCGUAACAACUCUGUUACUACAGGUAUACAG
rnacentral:rRNA from 1 species